CGUACGGGUGAGUAACACGUGGAUGAUCUACCUUUUGAUGGGGAAUACCGCUGGGAAACCGGCGACAAUACCGCAUAAGCCCGAGAGGGGAAAGCAGCAAUGCGUCAGAAGAGGAGUCCGCGGCUGAUUAGCUAGUUGGUGAGGUAAGAGCUCACCAAGGCAACGAUCAGUAGCCGGCCUGAGAGGGCACACGGCCACACUGGCACUAAAACACGGGCCAG
rnacentral:rRNA from 1 species